rnacentral:rRNA from 1 species
GCCUACGGGAGGCAGCAGUGGGGAAUAUUGCACAAUGGGGGAAACCCUGAUGCAGCGACGCCGCGUGGGCGAGGAAGUACCUCGGUAUGUAAAGCCCUAUCAGCAGGGAAGAAACAGGACAGUACCUGACUAAGAAGCCCCGGCUAACUACGUGCCAGCAGCCGCGGUAAUACGUAGGGGGCAAGCGUUAUCCGGAUUUACUGGGUGUAAAGGGGGCGCAGACGGCAAUGCAAGCCAGGAGUGAAAGCCCGGGGCCCAACCCCGGGACUGCUCUUGGAACUGCAUGGCUGGAGUAAGGGAGGGGG